GUUUAGGGCUAGUGUAGCGGUUUGAAUGUUGGACUAUGACUCUGGAGAACAGGGUUUGAAUCCCUGCCUGGUCA